rnacentral:lncRNA from 1 species
CCCAGCAGAGGCUGGGGUAGGAAGAUGAAGGGAUGGCUGAAUCCCUCCCUGAUUCUGAGUUCCAACCCUUGCCCACGGCAGCCUGAGGGCAGACGGCCCGUGGGUGUGGUCCCUGGGGUCAGCUGCCCAGGCAGGAAGCAGGGGCAGGGAGAGCGGUCCCGGAGGGGAGGAGGCCGCUGUCUCCCGCUGUUCUGUGUGACCCAGGGCCAGCGGGGACCCCCCACAGCCCCUCCACCCUCCUUACAUCUGUAAGUGGAGCCCAGCUCUCCUGCCCCGGGACACCAGCCACCCUGUGCGACUUGUGCCUAGAGGGUAGCCUGUGGAGGCAGUGGCCUUGGGCAUUGAAGUCACAGAAGCCUUUCUCCGGGGUCUCCAUGUGUCCACGUCACGAGGGACCACAGCCACCUCUGGAGGGGCUGCGUGCAGCUGGGGGGGCGACGGGGCCCUGAGAUGGGACCCAGCCGUGUGCCCAGAGCCACGGGGACCACGGGACCCCGGGGGCCAGGGGUGUGGACUGCCGUGUCGCAGGCCUCCGCGCUUCCGAGUGAUUUACCACGUGGCCAUCCAGACAGCGGCAGUAAGCGUUUCACAAGGCCUUGGUGAAGGAAGUCGCCGGCCCCUGACCAGGAGGAGCUGCUGAGAGUGGUGUGAGUCUGAGAGAAGCCGCCGCUGAGAAGUAUCCCGGAAUUUCAGCCACGCGGCAGUGACCUGGGUCUGCUGGGGCAGUCUCCCAGUCGCCCUCUACGCCCUGCCCUGGAGGUGAGAGGUGACAGGCUUGGAUCUGGCCUCUCUGGGAGGCUUUGGCCGCCACCAGGCUUGAGAUCCUGGCCAGCCCAGCCCGCAGGCACUUAGCGGGGGAUUUGGCCUCCAGGAGUCAGCUGGCAGAUUAGCGGGUCCUGCCUGGGAACACCAUGGGUGAAGUGGGCCCUGGCUCAGGGUGCCUGAGGGCGCAGGGUGCGACUGCCCCCCCACCCCCCACCCCGUCUGGUGGCCUGACACUUCCCCCUGCUCACCAUGAGGGGCUGAGACUCUGGGUGCAGAUCCCAGCUGCUUCUUCAUCUAUAAAGUAGGGAUGUGGUUGCAUUGGGCAGGGUCAGGGACACAGAAGCAUAAUCAUGGGUGUUUAGAAAGAGAUUGAUUUUAAGGAUCCUGCUUACACAAUGAUGCGGGCUAGUGAAUCCGAAAUCUGCCGGGCAGGCUACAGGCUGGAAAACCAGGAAGAGUUCUUGUUGCAGUCUUGAGUUCAGAGGUCUCAGG